CCAAUCUGCAGAGGCAGAUAAGAACGACAAGGCUGUCAAGGACCUGGUGGUGCUACUGUUUGAAACAGCUCUACUCUCCUCCGGCUUCUCACUGGAGGAUCCCCAGACUCACUCCAACCGCAUUUACCGCAUGAUAAAGCUAGGCCUGGGCAUCGAUGAAGAUGAAGUGGCAGCGGAGGAACCCAGUGCUGCUGUUCCUGAUGAGAUCCCUCCACUUGAGGGUGAUGAGGAUGCCUCUCGCAUGGAAGAAGUCGAUUAAUUUCUCCUUGCAGAUCUUGUGCCCUCUGUAUAGUGUCCCCAUGGCUCCCCAGCAGCCCUGAGUGGCCCCGGUUCACCUGGUUCCCUCUGCUGAUGUCUAGUGGAUUUUUUUUUUUCUCCUCCUGUCUUUGUUAGAGGCAGGACAGAAGGGCCUUAAGCCCUAGCCCUCAUGACAUUUGACAAGGGGUUUGGAUGUGUAUUGUGGUGUUUGUUUAUUUUGUUCUGAGAUUAAAGUAUGCAAAAUAAAGAAGAUACGGUUUUA